ensembl:lncRNA
UUGCAUUUGUAUUUGGAAGCCUUUUCCUCCAAACAUAUUCAUAAUUUAAAAGUGGUCUUUGUCAGACUACAUCCACCUUCUGUUAGCAUUGUUUGGGUUUGCAUGAUGGGGAGAGACCCUAUCAUUCAUUGAAAGCCCACUAUGAGAUGGGGCCAUCUUCUCGUAGUCUGCCCUUCCACAAAACCCCUGGGAGAUGGGGUAGUAAUCGUUUUCCCUCUUUAAUGAAUGACUACACCAAAGCUCAAAGCAUUUGCCACUCACCCAGGUCACACAGAGACUAAAUGGUAGGAAUGAUGUCAAACCUGGGUCCAGGAGACUCCAAUGGUUAUGCAUCACCCAUAACCAUUACAUAAAAUAGUCUUGACGGGAAAAAUACAGUGCCCUUUCCGUGGGCUUCCCCGACCCCUGGGAGCUAGUAGUAUUAACCCCGUAGCCUUUGUCUCUCUCUCUCUCUCUCUCUCUCUCUUCAUCUUUCCCGUGCAGCCACUUUCAUUGCACAAAGUCUGUGUCCCGGCACGAAGAGGCCUGCCUUCCCAGGGGCUGCCUCUGCUUUCUGAAGAGUUUAUCUGCACUGGUGUCAGAGUUCGAGAUAAUUCCAUGCAAGGCAGAUUUCUCUCCCUGAGAAGUUCUGACUCACAGAUUGGAGCAGCCUGAUUAAUCAUUUUGCGACAAAUGCCAUCAGACGCCCCGCCAUCCCCUUUCAGCAGGGGAGAACCUUUGCUCUCCUUGGCAUCACCUGUGAUCAGGACUACCUAUGAGGACACAGGAGGGAGGCAGGUGAUCAGCACCAUUAUUUCAUCCCAUGCAAAAUGUCUCCCAUCAGGUGGCAGACCUCCUGGCUCGACUGAGACUUUGUCACACCAAUUGUGAAGGCUCCCGAGUCAGUGCAAAGCCAGCUCACCGUGUGCUGUUGGGAACACCAUGCGAAUCUCUCACGCCAGUCGCCCGACAGCCUGGAAAACUCUGGAGAGAAGCUCCUUCCUUUAGCCCAAAUGACAAUUUGCAUUCCUCCAGGCUGGGUCACUUGUGAGAGUGAAAAGGGGUAUGUUAAUAAUCGUACCAGAAACACAGGCAUAAACCAGGACUGGCUAAGCCAACAGGGUCCUGUAACCACCUCCACAACCAUUUUUGUCAGUUCUGGAGAUAGGAGACAGCAAAGUUGUUUCUUCACAGAAUUGAAGCCUCAAGGCACAGCCAGAUGAGAUGGCUGAUAACUCUCUGGUGGGCAGAAUUAUAAGAUAACCACUCCCCCACCCCAGUGUACAGACCCUGUGUAAUCUCCUUACUUUGAGUGUAGGUGGGUCCUGUGGGCGUGAUGGGAUGUCACUGUCACAGUUAGGCUAUGUUUGUAAAGGUGAAAACAUUUUGCAGACGUAGCUGAAGUCCCAAACCAGUUGGCCUUUGGUUAAUCAAAGGGGAGAUUAUCUUGGGUGGGCCUGACUUAACCAGGCAAAAGUGCUUAUGAGAAAGACCCGGCCCUUCCUGAAGAUGAAGUGAGCCCGAAGAAAGGAGUAAGCUGUUUUAUGAGAGGAACGUGUGACUGGAACCUAAUGGCACCUUCUGGGAGCUGAGUGGGAGCCCCGGCCAGCGGCCAACAAGAAAAUGGCAACAUCAUUUCCAGAGUUGCAAGGAAAAUUCUUCCAACGACCCGAGGGAACAGAUCCUUCUCCAGUAGAGCCUCCAGAUGAGAACACAGCCCAGAUGACAUCUUGAUUUCAGCCCGAGAUUCUGAGCGGAGAACCCAGUUAAGUUGCGUGCAGACACUUGAUCCACAACAUGUAUACAACGUAUGAAAUGUAUAAAAAUGGAUGUUGUUGUAAGUCGUUGAGAUUCUAUUAGUUUGAAAACACGGCAACAGAAAACUAACCUAGACUCCGAAAUCACACUGCCACUUUUGUCGUCUGCUCAUGCGCUCACUCUCUAGCCUGCCCAUCCAAGAUACCUUCCCUCCUGCUUUUCCAGAUCCCUGAUUCUCCAAACCCCCUUCCAGGCUCUGCUUCUGUAGCUCACACUUAUCCUGCCAAGGUUCC